rnacentral:rRNA from 1 species
UACGAAGGGGGCUAGCGUUGUUCGGAAUCACUGGGCGUAAAGGGCGCGUAGGCGGCCGAUCAAGUCGGGGGUGAAAGCCUGUGGCUCAACCACAGAAUUGCCUUCGAUGCUGUUUGGCUUGAGACCGGAAGAGGUUAGUGGAACUGCGAGUGUAGAGGUGAAAUUCGUAGAUAUUCGCAAGAACACCAGUGGCGAAGGCGGCUGACUGGUCCGGUUCUGACGCUGAGGCGCGAAAGCGUGGGGAGCAAACAGG